CGAUUCGAACCACCUAACGAGGAACGAUCGGAGGGCAAGUCUGGUGCCAGCAGCCGCGGUAAUUCCAGCUCCAAUAGCGUACGUUAAAGUUGCUGCAGUUAAAAAGCUCGUAGUUGAACGUUCGGGUUCCGCGGGACGGGGCCGCCCCGCGAGGGACGGCGCCGCCCCGGGGCUCGUGAUAUCUCAUCUCGCCGCCCGUCGCGAGGCGGACGGAGGGAUGGAUGAGGUUACCUGGAAAAAAUCGGGGCGAUCUAGGCGGGCGAACCUCGCCAACGAACGAUCGGACAUGGGAUAACGGAAGAGGGCGUCGGUCUCGACUUCGUCGGUUCCUCGGGCCGAGGCACGUACGGUGAAUAGGGACGGUCGGGGCCGCCCGUACCGGGUCGUGAGAGGUGAAAUUCUAGGAUCGACCCGAGACGAACCGCCGCGAAAGCAUUCGGCAAGGACGCUUCAUUAAUCAAGAACGAAAGUCGGGGAUCGAAGACGAUCAGAUACCGUCGUAGUCCCGACCGUAAACGAUGCCGACCGGA
rnacentral:rRNA from 1 species